rnacentral:rRNA from 1 species
CCUACGGGAGGCAGCAGUGGGGAAUAUUGGACAAUGGGGGGAACCCUGAUCCAGCGACGCCGCGUGAGUGAAGAAGUAUUUCGGUAUGUAAAGCUCUAUCAGCAGGGAAGAAAGAAAUGACGGUACCUGACUAAGAAGCCCCGGCUAACUACGUGCCAGCAGCCGCUGUAAUACGUAGGGGGCAAGCGUUAUCCGGAUUUACUGGGUGUAAAGGGAGCGUAGACGGCGAUGCAAGUCUGAAGUGAAAGGCGGGGGCCCAACCCCUGGACUGCUUUGGAAACUGUAUGGCUGGAGUGCAGGGGAGGUAAGUGGAAUUCCUAGUGUAGCGGUGAAAUGCGUAGAUAUUAGGAGGAACCCCAGUGGCGAAGGCGGCUUACUGGACUGUAACUGACGUUGAGGCUCGAAAGCGUGGGGAGCAAACAGGAUUAGAUACCCCUGUAGUC